rnacentral:rRNA from 1 species
GACGAACGCUGGCGGCGUGCUUAACACAUGCAAGUCGAACGGAAAGGCCCCUUUGGGGGUACUCGAGUGGCGAACGGGUGAGUAACACGUGAGUAACCUGCCCUUGACUUCGGGAUAACUUCAGGAAACUGGGGCUAAUACCGGAUAGGAAUCCUUGCUGCAUGGUGGGGGUUGGAAAGCUUCGGCGGUUUUGGAUGGACUCGCGGCUUAUCAGCUUGUUGGUGGGGUAGUGGCUUACCAAGGCUUUGACGGGUAGCCGGCCUGAGAGGGCGACCGGCCACAUUGGGACUGAGAUACGGCCCAGACUCCUACGGGAGGCAGCAGUGGGGAAUAUUGCACAAUGGGCGGAAGCCUGAUGCAGCAACGCCGCGUGCGGGAUGACGGCCUUCGGAUUGUAAACCGCUUUCAGCAGGGGCGAAGCUUGUGGUGACGGUACCUGCAGAAGAAGCACCGGCUAACUACGU